AUUAUGACGUUCGGUGGGAAUUAGCUUGAAAAGCUAUUAAAAUUGUUCCGGUGAAGUUCGGGGAAACAUUCGAGUGUUUUCAGUGCGUAUUGGGCAUGAAAACGGAUUCGGGAAGCUAUACUGGACUUUAGCCUAAAUCCGGCAAAGUACAAGUGAGAAGAUGGUUUAAACAUGCUCAAAAAUGUGUUUUGAGGGUUUUGGAAUGGUUGGAAGUGGAUUAGAGGCUCAAGGAGCGAAAAUGAGGAUUUUUGAAAAAUGCUGAUUUUUGAGCUGUGAGUGUAGUACACUGAACUUUAACAAAUUGUAAGGAUCUAGUGUUGGAAUAGUAAUUGGAACUAUUCU
rnacentral:lncRNA from 1 species